GUCAGAAAGUGGUUGGUUACCUCAGUAACAAACAACCAGGCUACUAUUUCACCAGUAGGCACACCUUGCUUGGCAGGUUGGUAUUCCAGCAUGUCGGGCUUGCCAAGGAAUAAGGACAUUGAUGGCGUUUUCUCUUCUAGAGGACUACAAAGCCCCUUCCAGCAUGAUGAAAGCUUCUUGUAUCAGGUAUAUGUGUGCCUGGUGCCUACAGAGUCCAGAAGAGGACUGGAAUUGGAGUUGAAAAUGGUAUGAGUCUCCAUAUGAGUGCUAGGACCUGAACCUGCAUCCUCAGCAAGAACAAGUGCUCUCGACUGCUGAGCCAUCUAUAGCUCCUCUUGUAUCUUUUAGACUUAUUAAUGAAGGGAUGUUGAAGUUUAUCAAAUACCCUUUUCUGUAUCUUUCAAGAUGAUGAUGAUGAAUCAAACUCAUGUUUUGAGGCUUGCAACCUUAACUGUUUCUUUUGAAAUCAACUAAUAAAGAAAGGAUUAAAUAAAUCACCAAGCAUCCAUGCCAUGAAAAACUGGAUUUUUGAAAGAAUGAAGCAACUCCAUGUGUGCUGACUUGGAAUGUCCACUAACCUGCAGCUGGAAACAGCAGCAGUCAUCCAGACUGUGAAGCACGGGGUAGUACCAUCGUCUACAGAAGGUUGCUUUUGAUGGAGAUGCUUUGGCGCAGCAGUAGAAACCCCAACUAAG
rnacentral:lncRNA from 7 species